UUAACUAUUGCGUUUUGACUCGGACGACACUGAUGACAGAGUUUAUUGGGGCCUUCGGCGGGCACGAGAAGGCUUGUCUGGGGCCUCCCGCGAAAGCGUUCGGCGGCCCGCCAAAGCAACGUGAGUUUGGUAUACACGGGUGAAGAGUUGGGGCCGGUUAGACCCCGUCUCUCGGUAAUGAUCCUUCCGCAGGUUCACCUACGGAAA
rnacentral:misc_RNA from 1 species